GACGAACGCUGGCGGCGUGCUUAACACAUGCAAGUCGAACGGAAAGGCCCUGCUUUUGUGGGGUGCUCGAGUGGCGAACGGGUGAGUAACACGUGAGUAACCUGCCCUUGACUUUGGGAUAACUUCAGGAAACUGGGGCUAAUACCGGAUAGGAGCUCCUGCUGCAUGGUGGGGGUUGGAAAGUUUCGGCGGUUGGGGAUGGACUCGCGGCUUAUCAGCUUGUUGGUGGGGUAGUGGCUUACCAAGGCUUUGACGGGUAGCCGGCCUGAGAGGGUGACCGGCCACAUCGGGACUGAGAGACGGCCCAGACUCCUACGGGAGGCAGCAGUGGGGAAUAUUGCACAAUGGGCGGAAGCCUGAUGCAGCAACGCCGCGUGCGGGAUGACGGCCUUCGGGUUGUAAACCGCUUUCGCCUGUGACGAAGCGUGAGUGACGGUAAUGAGUAAAGAAGCACCGGCUAACUACGUG
rnacentral:rRNA from 1 species